GGAGGACCCUUGGGAUCGCAAGACCUUGCGCUCAUUGAGCGGCCGACGUCUGAUUAGCUAGUUGGUGAGGUAAAGGCUUACCAAGGCGACGAUCAGUAGCUGGUCUGAGAGGACGACCCGCCACACUGGGACUGAGACACGGCCCAGACUCCUACGGGAGGCAGCAGUGGGGAAUUUUGGACAAUGGGGGAAACCCUGAUCCAGCCAUGCCACGUGAGUGAAGAAGGCCUUCGGGUUGUAAAGCUCUUUCAGCCGGAACGAAACGGUCACGGCUAAUACCUGUUACUACUGACGGUACCGGAAGAAGAAGCACCGGCUAACUACGUGCCAGCAGCCGCGGUAAUACGUAGGGUGCGAGCGUUAAUCGGAAUUACUGGGCGUAAAGCGUGCGCAGGCGGUUUUGUAAGUCAGAUGUGAAAUCCCCGGGCUUAACCUGGGAACUGCGUUUGAAACUACAAGGCUAGAAGGG
rnacentral:rRNA from 1 species